rnacentral:rRNA from 1 species
UACGUAGGGGGCAAGCGUUGUCCGGAAUUAUUGGGCGUAAAGAGCUCGUAGGCGGCUUGUCACGUCGGGUGUGAAAGCCCGGGGCUUAACCCCGGGUCUGCAUUCGAUACGGGCUAGCUAGAGUGUGGUAGGGGAGAUCGGAAUUCCUGGUGUAGCGGUGAAAUGCGCAGAUAUCAGGAGGAACACCGGUGGCGAAGGCGGAUCUCUGGGCCAUUACUGACGCUGAGGAGCGAAGGCCAGGGGAG